rnacentral:rRNA from 1 species
GCAUGAGACAUGCAAGUCGAACGGACGAUCGGGGCUUGCCUUGAUCGUUAGUGGCGGACGGCUGAGUAACGCGUAGGUGACCUGCCCCGAAGUGGGGAAUAACUGCCCGAAAGGGUGGCUAAUACCGCAUGUGGUGGUGUGUUCAUUCACACCAGUAAAGCCGCAAGGCGCUUCGGGAGGGGCCUGCGUCCGAUUAGCUCGUUGGUGGGGUAACGGCUCACCAAGGCGACGAUCGGUAGGUGGUCUGAGAGGACGAUCACCCAGACUGGGACUGAGACACGGCCCAGACUCCUACGGGAGGCAGCAGUCGGGAAUUUUGCGCAAUGGACGAAAGUCUGACGCAGCAACGCCGCGUGAGGGAUGAAGGCCUUCGGGUUGUAAACCUCUUUUAUCAGGGAAGAUAAUGACGGUACCUGAUGAAUAAGUCACGGCUAACUACGUGCCAGCAGUCGCGGUAAUACGUAGGUGACAAGCGUUGUCCGGAUUUACUGGGCGUAAAGAGCGCGCAGGCGGUCGUUCAAGUCGAGUGUGAAAGCCCCCGGCUCAACUGGGGAGGGUCAUUCGAUACUGAUCGACUCGAAGGCAGGAGAGGGUAGUGGAAUUCCCGGUGUAGUGGUGAAAUGCGUAGAUAUCGGGAGGAACACCAGUGGCGAAGGCGACUACCUGGCCUGUUCUUGACGCUGAGGCGCGAAAGCUA